UACGGGGGGGGCAAGCGUUGUUCGGAAUUACUGGGCGUAAAGAGUGUGUAGGCGGUUCUCUAAGUCUGUUGUGAAAUCUCCCGGCUUAACUGGGAGGGUGCGGCGGAGACUGGAGUGCUAGAGUGUGGGAGAGGUAAGCGGAAUUCCUGGUGUAGCGGUGAAAUGCGUAGAUAUCAGGAGGAACACCUGUGGUGUAGACAGCUUACUGGACCACGACUGACGCUGAGACACGAAAGCGUGGGUAGCAAACAGG
rnacentral:rRNA from 1 species